rnacentral:rRNA from 1 species
UACGUAGGUGGCAAGCGUUGUCCGGAAUUAUUGGGCGUAAAGCGCGCGCAGGCGGUUCUUUAAGUUCUGAUGUGAAAGCCCACGGCUCAACCGUGGAGGGUCAUUGGAAACUGGAGAACUUGAGUACAGAAGAGGAAAGCGGAAUUCCACGUGUAGGCGGUGAAAUGCGUAGAGAUGUGGAGGAACACCAGUGGCGAAGGCGGCUUUCUGGUCUGUAAACUGACGCUGAGGCGCGAAAGCGUGGGGAGCAAACAGG